rnacentral:rRNA from 1 species
AUGAAGGCUUAGGGUUGUAAAGAUCUUUUACCAGGGAUGAUAAUGACAGUACCUGGAGAAUAAGCUCCGGCUAACUSCGUGCCAGCAGCCGCGGUAAUACGGAGGGAGCUAGCGUUGUUCGGAAUUACCGGGCGUAAAGCGCACGUAGGCGGUACAUCAAGUCAGGGGUGAAAGCCSGAGCUCAACUCCGGAACUGCCCUUUUAGACUGCAUCGUUGAAUCCAGGAGAGGUGAGUGGAAUUCCGAGUGUAGAGGUGAAAUUCGUAGAUAUUCGGAAGAACACCAGUGGCGAAGGCGGCUCACUGGACUGGUAUUKACGCUGAGGUGCGAAAGGUGGGGAGCAAACAGGAUUAGAUACCCUGGUAGUSCACGACSUAAACGAUGAUAACUAGGUGUAGGGGUUAUUAGAAAUUYGGUGGSSGAGUAAACGGAUUAAGUUAUGCCSGUGGGGAGUAAGGAGCCAAGGUUAAAAAUG